GACAGAGGUGCCGAGCGUUAGGCGGAAUCACUGGGCUUAAAGCGUGUGUAGGCGGACCGUUAAGUACCUUGUGAAAUCCCCCGGCUCAACCGGGGAACGGCUGGGUAUACUGGCGGUCUUGAGCCAUCCAGGGGCAGUCGGAACAGACGGUGGAGCGGUGAAAUGCGUAGAUAUCAUUUGGAACGCCAAUGGUGAAAACAACUCGCUGGGGGUGUGCUGACGCUGAGACACGAAAGCCAGGGGAGCGAACGGG
rnacentral:rRNA from 1 species